AGGUACCGUCAUUAUCUUCCCUGAUGAAAGAGCUGUACUACCCGCCGGCCGUCAUCACUCAUGCGGCGUUGUUGCUUUAUGCUGUCUCCCAUUGUGGAUUAUUACUCACUGCUGCCUCCUGCAGGAGUAUGGACCGCGGCUUAUUAGCAAUGUGGUGGACCACCCUCUUAUGACGGCUACUCAUGGUCGCCUUGUUGAGCCGUUACCUCCCCAACUA
rnacentral:rRNA from 1 species